GGUGCCGUGGCGGAGUGGUCGAACGCAACGGUCUGCAAAACCGUUUUCAUCGCCGGUUCAAAUCCGGCCGGCACCUCCA
rnacentral:tRNA from 1 species